rnacentral:lncRNA from 1 species
GGGGGGGAGGGGCGGCGAGGCGAGGCCUGCGGAGCGGAGGAAGACAAACAUAAAGAUGAAGUGCUUAAUUCAAGGUCACACAAUGUCGGGGAUGGACCUCCAGAUUUCCUUACUGGUGAGACGUGGUCUUGUAACACAGUGGUUAAGAAUGUGACUUUGGAGCCAGCCUGCUAGGGGCUGAAUUCUGACUCAGCCAUUUACUAACUGUGUGACCUUAGUCUGUCUAGUGACUGGUGUUGUCAUAAGAAGAGAGGGACACAGAGGGAAGAUGGCCACAUGAAGAUGGAGGCAGAGAUUGCAGUUAUGCUGCUGCAAACUAAGGAAUGGCUCUGGCCCUCCAAGGAUUGCUGAUAACCACCAGAAACUAGAAGAGACAAGGAAGGAUUCUUCCCUAGAGCCUUCAGAGGGAGCAUGGCCCUACUGACACCUGGAUUUCAAACUUGUAGCUUCCUAAACUGCAAGAGAAUAAAUUUCUGUUGUUUUAAGCCA